CCGGAGUGGACGCAUCACUGGUGUUCGGGUUGUCAUGCCAAUGGCACUGCCCGGUAGCUAAAUGCGGAAGAGAUAAGUGCUGAAAGCAUCUAAGCACGAAACUUGCCCCGAGAUGAGUUCUCCCUGACUCCUUGAGAGUCCUGAAGGAACGUUGAAGACGACGACGUUGAUAGGCCGGGUGUGUAAGCGCAGCGAUGCGUUGAGCUAACCGGUACUAAUGAACCGUGAGGCUUAACCUU
rnacentral:rRNA from 1 species